CAAGAGCUUCUUUUCCAUGGGUCCAGAUGAUGAAGAUGUCAUCAAUGUAGCGCAAGUAGAGUAGGGGCAUUAGGGGACGAGAGCUGAGGAAGCGUUGUUCUAAGUCAGCCAUAAAAAUGUCUAUUCUAGCAGUGCAGACAACCUUCCUACGGACUCCCGAGGAAGGCCCCAGGUCCUAUGGACUAUCUUCAGUGCAUGGUGUUCAGCAAAUGCAUGCAUGCCAGGGCUUCCUGAGGAGAGCCAUUUUCAUACAGACGGCUAAUUGUUAGCGGUAAUAAUAACUAGCUGACAGCUGUAUCCCAUCAGAGACUGCGCUACAGUCGUCUCUGCCCAUUUCCAGAGGGGUUUAGUCAGGGCUCUUGUUAUGUUCAUAUUGAUUUUGAACACAAAUUGUUAGCAAAGUCUGACUCUAAUGGCUGCUGCCAGCUGACUGUAUUUCAGCUAAAUACAAAGGUGGGGCCAGACCCCAGUCCCAGGUAUCCUGGGGUGAAUCCAGAGUAACUCCAUUGAAGAUGAAGCCUCUCGUGUAACUGAGAUCAGAAUCUGACCCAAACUCUCUGUAGCUUUAGCUUCAGAGUGUGAAGAUUUCAAGGAGUGCAUGAGGCGGGGCAGGUUAGGAUAUUAUGAUCUGAAAUGGGUAAUUGUUUGGUGUGGACUUUCUAUGCCUCUUUCAUAUACACACUAGGGGUAGCUGUGCAUGGCUCCAGGAAACUCGAAGAGGCUCCUUUCUAGCACUGCUGGUGGGAAGAAGCUGCAGGUGGCUUAGGGGUAAUUUCCUGGGAGCUAGAUUCCGCCCCAAGUGACUAGCACAAGGUCCGUUGUCCUCUGGAAGUGAGCUCAGUGCUGGUGGUCAAUGGAGGAUGUCUAUGGCUUUGUCUCCUAGUGACACAAAGAGGAAAUGGGUCCUUUUUCAGCAUCACUUUGGACACAGUGUAAGAAAAGAUGCUUCAAUGGUUCUUGGCAUUCUGCCCCACCUGUCCCCAUGUUCAGAUCACACAGAGACACACACAUUGUGCAAAUGUACAUACAAGUUAGAGGUGGUCAAAACACCUGAUUGCAUCAAAAAAAUUUUUUUGUUUUUUUUCCCCCCAAAAUCAAAUUUUGAUGAAAAAUGUAAUUGAAAAAUUGAAAUUCAGAAAAUUUGGACCAACUUUAACAAUCUAGUCAGCCCUGAAAACAACACAGGUGCACACACACAUCAGGUGGGGAAGCAGCUAGUUCAAGGGAAAUCUAGGCAGCGGUCAGCAGCAGCAAAUGGAGAUACACAACUAUCUCGGAAUGGUUCCAGACCCACCCUCCUCUUUUCCUGCAGAGAAUCAGGUUUUGUACAGAUUCCACACCCCAGACUAAGGGCUGGCUCCCUCUUCCAGGGCACAGGCAUGGUUCCUUUUAUUGCUGUCUGUGAUAGUGUGAAUCACCGCAGCACGUGCCAUGCAGGUGUUAGUGGGAGUAGCCCUGUAGGAAGGCAUGACCAUGAGCACGGGUUCUGGAUCAUGGCACAAGUAGUGGGGGAUCCAGCCCAAUGAGGGGCUGGCUUGUUGACUGAGGAGCUGCUGGUGUCUGGGAAUCAUCUCCUUUUGGUUAAGCAGUGUCAGCAAAGUGACUCCUGCAGCACGCGGGGAGCCAGGCUUUUGCUCUUCCUGAAUUGAAGACACGAUGCCCUGCCCCUCACCCCCAUCAGGCCUGUGUCGUCCCCCCCCCCCCCCGGGGCGUGCUAUGCAGCCGGACAGCAGGGAGAGCACAGCAUUGCAGCAUGCCCAGCACUCUAUGGCUCAGAGCUACGACCCCCAAUUAGCUCGUGUUCCACCUUCAUCUUCUCUCUCCUUCGGAAUGUAAAGCUGGCUCCUUCCUGAGUCAUGAAUGGAAGCCAGUCCAGCCAGCGCCCGAGUGACCCAGUGAGCCGCACUCUGACACCGCACGCGCCGCUGGCAGAAACCAUUUCUAAUUAAGAGGAUUUGAUCAAAUGAGACAGCGAGCGACUCUGGAGAAAGCCAGGGGCUUGGCUUCUGCAUGCCUUAGCCCUGGAGAUGCCCAAGCCAAAGGGGCUCCUUUGGAGGGGACUUGCAUGCAGACAUGGGGACGGCGCCACUAGCCACCCCCUUCCUAGUCCAGUAGUGUCUUUGCUGUCAUGUUUUCUCCUAGCUUAGGGUGGGGGUGGCCCCAGAGGACUGCAGUCUAUCCAUCUCUAUAUCCCCAGGGACAGAGCCAGUGCGGGACCUUUCUGUAGCCAGAAGAGGCUCUGCAGCUUCCUCUGAAAGCACCUUGCCCAGAAGAGGAGCCUAUAGCCCCUGCACCAGCUCAGCCCAGAGACGGGGAGCCUCUGGCAUAGUCUCCUCUGAGCCCCCGUUUCCCACAGGGCGGUAGAGCAUCGCAGGCAAGACUGUCUUGCUGGGGUGCUUAUUAGUGCGAGGCUUCCCUUUGGUGCCACCUGGACCCCAGGAACAGGGAAGCUGGGUGGCCGUGGAAGGUGCCGCAUGCUGUUCUCUUUUGCUGUGUUGGUUGCUUUCUUUUGCAGCUGCUAAUGACUGACCUGAGGUCUGUUCACACACAGUCCCCUGCGCGGCCGGAGCAGCAAGACAAGAUGGGGGGUUAUUUUACAGUGUUCUUAUAGCCAGUGGCACCAGAGACACCAGAUGUUUGCCUGAGGGAUGCGCCAUCUCGCUCCCCAGUGGGAUUCCUGAGUCCUGGUGACCCGAUGGCAGCGCUGUGGCGGUGCCCUGGCAAGGAAGGGGCAGCAGUGAGUCAGAGCACCUCAGACUGGCACCAUGGGGAGCGGGUUUCUGUUCUUUGCCACAAAUCCCCAGGAGCCAGUGUGGCUCCAGGGAGGAUCACGCUGACUGGGCUGGCUGUGAGUGUAGUCAUGAGGCUGCCUGCUCGGAGCUGCGGGAGCAGCACACACAGGACUCUGCCUAAGGUAUUGCUUAGUGACGACACCCAGAAGAUUUGAGACUGUGGCAAACGCCACAUGUCAGCCUGUGCGUGUUGACUGCCUGACAGAUUGCGGCCCAGUGCAUCCCCCCCUUUCACAGGGGUAGACGGCUUGCAGUGGGAGAGGGCUCUGAGACGAAGCGUGGCUAAGGCUUUCUUGCCAGGGUCACUUCUCCAAGCCAGUGCAAAUCCCGAUGCCUCGGCCCUUUCACAGAGUUAGUUCCCUCGGGAGGAGAACAAGAGUUAAGGGCUGGGGAAUGUUCUAGAUGCUUACGAAUGGGGAUGAUGCCAAAGCAGUUCAUGCUUGUCUGAAACCUCCCCCAGAAAGAGAACCGAUUCCUUAGGGCUCCCCCACCCCGCCCUUGGGGCAGUGGGCCAGAAGGGCAGGGCUGGGUUUGUAGUGUCCAUCUGCAGAUUAUCCUCGCGGCUGAGAGGACAGACUGCCACUAGGCUCAGCGCUGGUGCAGGCUACUGCAUUCGCCCGAUCUGCAUGAAUGAUGGUGCUUAGCCUUUCUGGCUCGCUGGGGUGCUCCCCUGCCCCUGAGUGAUAUACCGGGGUGCUAGGAGCUGAGGGAUCACCUGGCCGUGGUGGUAGCUCUGGAAAUACUGAAUGGGAAAUGGUGGCGGUGGGAGGAGUUUAAGGAACAAGUUCAUUCCACUGGCCUUUUGUCACCGGCUCAUGCCAUGACUUCUCUGGUCCGGUGAAUGUUCCUUUUGUGAACGGUGCCAAGCCCAGUAACAAUGGAGCUGGGGUGGGGGCCAGCGAUCCUGCUCUGAAUUCCUUGAGUCCCCAGAGAGGCUUGUGUGGUGUGAUCUCCUCGUGUCAGCGCCAGAGUUCGGGGCUCAGAGGGACCCAGGCUGCGCAUUGUCUCUAUCACCUGCAGGCGACGCUCUGGGGCUUUUCUCUGCCAUGUCUGUCCUGUGCAGCUGUAAUAAGGGGAGAGUGCCUCAGGGAGAUUGGCUUGCCCCGAUGCCUGUGUGCUGGGCUGUGUGUUUAAAAACCUGUCAGCCUCCAAGAGCAACGUGGAGCAUGCGGGAGGGAAUGCCACCCCUCAGAACUCCCCUGAGCCACAUUCCUCCAUCACCAUGCUAAGCAAGCGCCGUGUUCCCCUGGAAAACGUAACAUCAGCACUUUCCUGCUGCUGGGAGGUAGGUGGGAGCGCGCCCCAGGGAGGUCAGGGAGCAGCUUCUGCAGGCGGGGUGCGGUGGUGGGACUUGCAGGUGGGAUUCUUUUAGCAAAAUUAGCUGCAGGUGUGUUCCCGUUCAGUGAGGAACGAUCCGAGAAGCCAGAAUGGAGGGCCUUGCGCCAGGGAGCUUGCAUCGAGCGAGUCCAGCUAUUUCCCAUGUGUGCCAGCACAGUAGAGCAGGGGGGAUGGAAUCUCCUGGCUGUAUCUACCUACUGCUGACGAGAGAGGAGCCGAGGGAGCCUGGUGGGGGCAUAGAGGGCCCCGUUUGGUUCCAGGGGGUUGUUUCCUUUCCCUCUCACUUCCCAUCCCUGAGACAUUCCCUAGUGCAUGUGACAGAUGGAGCCUGCCUUAGCUAGGAACCUUCUGCUUCUCCCGCUUCACAGCUGCAGUUAGUCUCUUCUGGUUGUUCACUGUGGUUCUGUGCUGCUCCAUGGGCAUGCUGGGGAGAGCCCCCUAGCCAAGCAUCCUCAAUACGCCCAGCCUGCCGGGUUCAUGGUCAGGCCGUGGGGGAGAGCCAGAAGACAGAUCUUCACUGUUCUUUGGAAUUCCAUUUGUUUCCCUACUGGGCCCCUGCUCGCAAGACAGCAGCUACUCAGACCGGGACAGAAAUAGCUUUGUCUCUCCAACAGCCCAGCUGUCACUGAUGUGCUGCCAGCUCAUGGCCUUUGCCCCAGCCAUCAGCUUAGUGCAAUUUCACAGCGUUCUCCUAACCCCGUUACCCAUUUCCUUCCUCUGCUUCUUCUGGCAUACUCCUGCCCAGUAGAUCGGACGCAUUUAGCUCUGAUGGGCUGGCCAGCUCCUCAGCUCGGUCACUCCCGGCCCGUCUCCACCGCCUGUGGCAGCGAUCAACAGGCUUAGGCUGGUGGAGCUGGGGCUGCCAUGUGGCUUGGCCUGGGGCUCAGGCUCUGAAGGCCAGGAAGUGGGGUGGGCUUUGGAACCCGAGCUCCAGCCUGAGAUAGAAUCAUAGAAUAUCAGGGUUGGAAGGGACCCCAGAAGGUCAUCUAGUCCAACCCCCUGCUCAAAGCAGGACCAAAUGUCACACCAAAGCCCUGGCUAGACAGCGAGUGCCAGCGUGAGCCCUGCAAACCCGGGCCGGAGGCUCGCUGCUGCGGGCAGUGCAGACAGACCCAAAUAGCCUAACUCUCAUCUGCCCUGGAGCUGGGGGCAGGACUCCCUUCUAGCUGGUGUGAGUGAGGGGAGCGCGUUGGCUUGGUAGCUGUGUAGACGCUUCUGCACAGGGGUGCAUGGCAGCAGGAGGGGCCGAGCGCUCUCCUAGGCCAGGACGGUGCUAGGGGCUGCGUUUGCAAAGUGCUUUAUUCUCCAGUUCGGUUAUUUAGGGUCACACAGGCCAGUUCUAGCCUCAGAAUAAUGAGCCAACCACAUUCCACAUCCCGGCUUGAUAGCCCAAAGGCAUCUCCUCCUGACAGAUACCAGGAGCUGCCCCUGGCCUAUGACAGCAGCAUGGGCUAAACUCCAAGGAGGUGCAUCCCCCACCAGCAAGUGGGACUAACUGGUGCAUUGUGCAUGUAUAUUACUGUGCUAAGUUAUUAACAUACUAACCCAGGAAGAUCUCCUUGCCCUCACAGACUCUGCCCCCCAGCAAGGCCUGCAAAUGCCGCUGGAACGUGGAGUAAGUUACUUGCGAACGAACUAACCCACUAACUGGCUGUAAUGCAUGCACUACUAACCCGUCCUCUUUCACCUCCUACUAACUGGGGACAGCAACCUUGCCUUUAAAGGGGAACGGAAAAGCUUCUGUAAGUACAUCUGCAAAGAAGUCAUUCAAGUUGCCGCCCCAGGAACAGAAUCUAUGUGCACUGUCAAACAUUACAAACACAGCGAGGGAAUCGGUGGGGAGCUGCUGCUCCGUGUACCUGGCAGGGCCUGAGUACAGGAUUCUGUCUUUCCCCAGCAACAUGGGGUAGCGCUCCAGGAACACCAGAGAGCCGCACUCUCUGCUCUGCUGUUGGUGCUAGAACUCCCACAACACCCGCAGAGGAAAGACAGAUGCUGCUUCGCCAGUUUUGGCAGGUCACUAGAGGAAGGGCUGAUUUUCCAGGGUCUUUCUGUCUGUAAUGCUGAAGUCUGCAUGUGGAUUCUGCUGCUGACUAGGGAUCCUAGACUGGGUUUAUUGACAAAAGCUUUUCAGUUCCUUUUUAAGUCACUAGAUCUCUCUCUCCUAUUACUAACACAUUUCCAAACUGAAUUAAACAAACUAACCUUUGCUGCUUUUCUCUCCAUUUCUCUUUCCUAGUUCUGUUCCUGAACUAAGAUGCACUCUCUGGUUAUGACAUGUGGCUCUUUAUUAACUGCUUGUACUAAUCUCUUCUUAGUUGGUUCUAUAUGCUACUAACAUACACUCUUUAGCUCCUUAACUUUCUAAUACUAUUCACCAUGACAAAUGAAUGGACAGGUGUUCCCCCACCCCUCUAACAGAUCCCUGUUCAAACGACCCUCCUCUAUUAUGUGGCUGUUCUUUUUUUCAGAACAGCAGAACAUCUUUAACUCCCAUUAAGUGCAAUGAGAAAGGAAGUUGCUCAGGAGUUUUGAAAAUUAGGCCACUGUUUUUCAAUCAACUUUAUGAGGCUAAGAGAAAACAAUGCUAUUCACAGGCUUUAUAAAAUGGCUUGGAGUGGCAUGUUUCACAUAUUGGUCAGUCACUUUGUAAUUUGUAUUUGCCAGAAGGUCUGCUGAAGCUAGUUUGCAGAGAGACCCUGUUAAAAAGCAAUUAAGAAACUGCAGUCCCCACCUGUACCCCAAACUCUUGAAUUGCUUGGAAUGCUGCCUGGUUCAUCUGUCAUUGGGAAUGGCCUUCACAUCAGCCUUUGUGCCCCUGUUACUCCUGAGCUUUGGGACGGACAUGGGGCGCUCUCAGCUUGUGCCGGCCCAGGACUCAGUUUCUUUGGAUCUCCACAGUUUUCCUUUUGGCACUGAUGCAUGUGGAAAGCAGUUGCCAACCUCGAGUGCCUAACUGCCAGGAGCCGAGGGGCUGAACCUAUCUGGUUGAUUGGCACUUGUUGUACUUACUCCUGGUCACUAACUCGAGAGCAUGGGAGGUGAGGGGCAGGGAGAGGAACAGGACAUGUUGUCUAGAGGGAAAUCUGCCUUCGAGGCAUUUAACAUAUUUUAUGAUGCACUAACAUUGGGCCUAGUUGUGAGGUCUCUGUUCAGCUUUCACUCCACUUGCAUGGGCUGCAUUCCUGUUGCCUUCUCUGGGAGUUUGCCAGAGUAAAGGCGACAGGGUUUUGCCCAUCCACUGUGUCUUUGGCAUGCAAACCAGGAAUAUCCGCUAGCUCACCAGCAUCCCCUCAGGGGGCCUGCGGUGAUUAACAGGACUAACCUAACCCCUGCAUGGACGGAGAGCAAUGCUGGUUGCUGUCCUUUGAACUGCACUUAAAUACUGAAGGCAAAGGCCCGAUUCCUAAAUCAGUCAGUGAUAAUAGAUGGAGUGGGAACUUGACGCCCUUAACCACCCCAAAGGCUAUGCAUGAAGCCUGCAGCACAGGGUACCUGGCCAGGCAGUGGGUCCCUCCUGCACUGCUCCGGGGGGAGGAAGGUGCCAAGCCAACAGAACGUGGCUAAUGGGCUGAGGAGAUGUGGGUAGCAGGAGAGGCAGGGGGCUGUGAAUCAGAACAUCGCUGCUCAGAGCUGGGGCAGGGGUGAUAAUGUAACGUGUGUGUGGGGCUGGCAUCAUCAUGAGAUGUUCCAUGGAGAGUCGUGCAUGGGCGGGGGAGCAAAGGGAGAUGCCCCGGUGAGAUUCAGCUGGGGAGAUCACAGUGGUCCAGGGCAGUGUGGAGAGCUCCCCCAACUAGGGAGCAGAGCCAGUAGGCAGAGGUCAGAGAGCUCGGGGGGAAGAUGGCAGGAGUGAGAGGAGGGCACAGUGAGAACAGGGAGGGGGUGCAGGCAGAGAGGAGAACAGCGCCAGUCCAUGGGCAGAGCGGGACCAGAUGCAGCAUGUUACUGGCUUACCGAGCACCCAUCCCCGUUCCCCCGCUGUUAGCUCCGCUGACAGGGAGGGGUGAGUUUGCCCCUUCUGUGCAUCUCAGCGUGGCCGAGGGCUACACACGAGAUCCUCUCCUUGAACUGCCCCCACUUGGGAGCAGCCUGGCUGUGACACUCCGAUGAGCAGAACUCACAGGAGGAGAGUGUCCGCCCGGACAGACAGACCGACAGGUGCACUCUGCAACCAGGAGCAAUCGCUUUCUCUCUGGGUGUGGGUGCUCUCCAAGAGGAGCUCUGCCCAAGUGCUUUAUGGAUCUGGCCUGUAAGUGAUAGGAGCCUGUCUUGCUCGUGAGACGCUCCGGUGCUCACUCCCCUUUCUCUGCUGUCUAACUGCUAACAGCUGUUCUGCUUUGCCUUGAGAUGUGUAGCUGGAGAAGGACCCACAGCGUGACUCGGUCUUUAUGCCAGUUUAUUGCCUGUUUCUAUAGCAGACCCCCCCACACACCUUUAACCCCUGUGUGUUUCUGUACUAAACACCAUGACCUGUUCCUUUCAGGCUGAUAUUAAUGACUUGCUGGGGAUCUCGCCACUAACCUGGCUGCCUCCUCUCGAUUAUCUCUCCGGGUCUGAGUGUGGCAGUGACGUGGCUGGUGUAUUUUUACCUAACAUACUAACUAGUCAGGAGGCUGCCCGGCCCUGACUGCUCCCUGCUUUAUUAACAUACUAAAACCUCUCUCAGGGCUGGGCUCAGAAUGGGUUUGGGGGUCUGUUGUUCCAUGUGCUUCCUUGGAGAGUGGGGCUGUGAUGCACCCCCAAAUUGAGGUGCGAGCACGCCUUGCCCUUUCGGGGUACUGCAAAGGGUAGAGUAUCUGGCUGCCUUGGAUCAGUGUGAACAGCGAUGCAGGUUUGCCCAGCUGGGAUGGGGCCCUCCAGGGGAAGGAGGGCAUGCAGGCUCAGCCUGGGCACAGCGAGGCUGGCUCAGAUCACGGUGAACCCGAGCUAGGUUAAAUCGAGGUGAUCUGGCACAAGGCCUGGCAGAGAAAGCGAAACCUUCCUAUUUUGCAGGUGAGCGAGAAUCUGCCCAGGAUAAUGUAGCAACCAGGGAACCAGCAUUUCAGCCUCGGUGGUGUUCAAAGCGGGAGCUGCGGCUGAGACACUGUCUGGAAGGGCUGGCAGAGCCUGGGCCUGACCGCUGGCCAGCCCCUCACUGUUGUGUUAUGGUGUCUAUCACAGCUUUCAGUGACCUGAGCCUCCCCCGCUGCUCAUGACCUAACCAGUCCGCCAGGCAGCAGGUGCUAAAAGGCUGGAUUUGUCAUCCCAGGAGAUGAGUGGAACACGUGAGCCCCAAAGGCCAAACCUGUGUCUGUGCCAACCCCUGUGGGACUCGGCAUUUGGAAGCUUCCCUGACCUUCUCUGGGUCCCCUGCUCUUCCGGUCUGUUGGUUUGCACAGGCUGGAACCCUGGGGCCUGAGGGGUGGGAGCCGCUGGGAAGACUGCAGUCUCCACAGGAGAAGUAUGCUCCCGUCUGCACGGCAAGCUCCUCGGCUGCCACGAGCAGCGAUGCAGGGCAGGGACAGGGAGCACAUGAAAGGGUUCUUACAGAACGGGCGGCUUUGCUUGGCUGGCUCUGUUGCUCCGCUCCUUGUCACUGCGCAUGUUCCCUACUUGGCGCCCGGGUGUCCUUUGGGUUCAGGUGGCUUCCCAUCUCUGGCUGGGUAGGGGCAGAGAUUUGCCCCCCUGUCUGUGCAAGUGCAGCAACUCCAGGGAUCCAGCGUGGCAAGGGAACAUGGGGGUCACCAGCAGCCGCCGCUCCAGACCCAGCUCCUGUCCUGCGUUGUGCUGCUUCUCAGCCCCCAGGCAGGCAGCGAUCCCCCAGAGCGGGUCACAAGGCUGGGCUCCCCCAUUUCCCUCCAGGGGCUGUGGGGCUCCAUGCCUUCUGGGCUCGACAUGGAUUCCCAGGGAGUCCGGAGAGCUGGGGGAUGUUGCACGGCAGCAUCACGUUGGGGACGAGGGCGUGACCGGCCUCUGGCACGAUGCUGGGCAGCACGUAGAGGGAGCUGAGGGGAGAGCUGGGGCUGGUGUAUGAGGAGAGGUGAAAACCUGCAGCUAAGGGGGGAUGGCAGGAGCCCCCAGGAGUUGGCCCUGUGAGCGAGGAGGGAGGGGAUGAACGAGGGGGCCCAGGGGAGCAUUUAGGAACCUGGAGAUGAGGGACAGGAGAGCUGGGGCAGGCAGCAGUGCCGCCCGGGGCAGACCUUCCUCAGGACAGGGGCUAUCUGGCCUAACAGCACUUCAAGCUCCAACAUCUGGGAGCAGGGAUCUCCCAGCGUGCCGAGGUUGACCAGGUUUUAGAUCCAGGGCAGGGUCACUCCAGCAAGCGAUGGCAGACUCCCAAGAGUCCCCUGCUCCUGUUCUCUGGGCCUCACCCCGGUGGAUUAGGCACAGAGCUCUCCCUGCGUCGGUGCCCCGUCGCGCGGCUCCAGCAGUGGCCAGUGCUGGGCUCAGCGGGAUGGCUGCCGCGCACACCUCACUGCCGCCAAGGGCACUUGGGCCAGGUAACGCUGGCGGCUGAGGGAGGCAGGAACCAGCCUAGAAGGGCCAUUUGUCUGCUUGUCUGCAGCAAGUCCUGUGUUCCUGGGUACAGGAGAGUCAGAGCAGGUGACAGCCCCCAGGACUGCUCCUCUCCCCUGCCCUGCAGUCGCUGUGGGCAGGCCCAGGGGGGAAGUCUGAGAGCCAGAAGCCCCAGGGCUGGGGAGGAUGGAUGGUGAUGAGACACAGUCUGGAAGGGCUGGCCCAGCAGCCCCCGUUUCCAGGGGUGAGCAGCGUCUGAUGUUCCCUGCGGGGAGCGAGACCAGGAGGCGACAGAGGGAGCUCGUGCCCCAGCUUGUCACUUUCAGGUUUCACAAACCCUGCUGCCAGCACCCCCAGGGGCUGCCCCACAGUCUCCGGGGGCCGGGGGGGGGGAUCCCUGCCAUCCCACAGCCUUGCUGCUCUCAGGUUUUAGCUCCUGGGUAGAAUGGGGCCCUCUAGGGAGGGAUGCCCCUAGUCCCUCUAGAGCCAGAGAGCUCUGGCCACUGCCAGGUGAAUAGGCGUGUGAGGGGAGACGGACAGACAGAUGGACAGACCAGUGAGACAGCAGUCUAAAUCUUGGGGAGGAUGCUGCAGGCCCAGCACUGCCUCGACUGGGCAGCCUGGAGACAGCUCCCUUCCUUGCAGCUGCGCUAAGCACAGGGCCCAAAACCGCUCACUGCUCCUCGCAGAAAGGGGAGACAGAAGGGGCCUGUUUGGUCACGUCUCCCUCUGUCCUGAUUGUUCCCUAUUGCACAUUACAGCCUGCUGGCUUUUCAGUGAUCCAGGCAAUGGCACACCCAGCCCUUGCCUUGGGAGACUGUUCCGUAGCCUCUCAGACCAGGCCAUUGGGCCAUUUCUCCAGGCUGUGUCUGUGUGUCUCUCUGAUGGUGCUGUGUGUAUGUGUGUGUGUGCACGUCUGUCUCUCUGAUGGUGCUAUGUGUGUGUGUGUGGCGUGUGUCUCUCUGAUGGCUCUGUGUUAGCGUGCGUGUCUGUGUGUGUAAUGGCUCUGUGUGUGUGUAUCUCUGAUAGCUCUGUGUGCCUGUGUGUGCAAUGGCUCUGUGUGUGUGUGCAUGUCUGUGUGUGCAAUGGCUCUGUGCGUGUAUCUCUGAUAGCUAUGUGUGUGUGUGUGUGUGUCUGAUGGCUCUGUGUGUGUGUGCAUGUGCCUGUGUGUGCAAUGGCUCUGUGUGUGUGUAUCUCUGAUGGCUGUGUGUGCGUGUGUGUGCAAUGGCUCUGUGCGUGUGUGUUGCUCCCACACUGAUAGUAACUGUUACUCUGGUGUCUGGUUCGCAGGGCCCUGGUGCGGAGGGUGGCUGAGCUAGCUGGACCGUGCUGCCUGCACAGGGCUCCAUUGCAAUCAGUGGGGGCUGCCCAAGAGACAGGUUACAAUGCAGGUUGCCCCUGGGGAGAGGCGUUAGUGAGGCUCAGGAAGGGGUUGGAGCUAAGCUACCUGCAUGAGAUGGUGGGGCUGGACGGGGGCUGCGUUCCUGCCCUAGGUCUGCUGUAGUUCGAGGCCAGGCUGGUGUCUGACCGGGCGGUGGCGGUUGCUGGACGGGGGCUCACUGGAGGGGAUGGUUUCCAGAGCACAUGGACUAACGGCCUGGCCAGCACCUUGCAGAGGAAGCAGUAACACGAGACCACGGGCAGCCUCCAGAGCCGCAUGCUCCUCUCACUGCUCAGCGUGGGCAGCUGCCCUGCUUUGCUGGCCCUGGCUGCAGCCCGACCCCUGUGCUUUUUCCUGCUGGAUUGGACAGGGUGUUGUAGUGGGUAAGAGGCUCUGCAAUAGGGCUGGGGGCGGGAACGCCCUGCCUCUCACCCCAGCUUUGCUGGGUGGCCUUGAGUGAGCUGCCCCAUGGGAUGGGAUAAUGAUGCAUGAAUGAGUUCCGGCCGCCUGAGCUCCCCUCUGAUAGUCCCUUACUCCAGGAGGUCAGUGGGACGGAGGCCGGAGGAGGGGGCAGAGGCUGGCUUUCCGAGGGCUGGUUGGUUAUUGUUCACUCCCCCCAUCCCUCCCAGCGGGAUCGGAAACUCAUGCAUCCCAACAGCUGCCCCGCCCCAGGAAGUGACAGGCCUUCCAGCAGGACGUCCGCAAAGACCCGAAAACUCAUCGGCCCCAGCUGCUAGCUACACCUCCAGGUAUCUGCACUCCUGGCUCACAGUGGUGCCGGGCGCCCGCAGCUCUGGCUGGCUCCCACUGGCGUCAGGGUGCUCAGGCCCCAACUGGGCCUCAUCCUGCAGCUGCGGCGUGUGCACUGUCUCCCUCUAGCGGCUGGUGCUCGAGAAGGAUAAAAGCCGCUCUCUGCUAAGCUUGUUCCUUCUGCCCAGGCAGUAGCGGCCUGGGAUUUUUGUGCAGAAGGCCCCAGGUCCAGUCACCGCUGCCAGCCUGUGUUGGGACAGUUGUUACAGAGCUAAAGGUCCAAGCCAGGAGCAGCACCAGGGGCUCAUGGCCCCUUGGUUUGUUUCAGCCUGUUGUAUUGUACAGUGGCACCUUUAGAGGGCACUGGGCCACUCGGGACAGGCCUUUGCUUUAUGGUCUCAUGAUCUAAUCGCUGCGGUUUCGCCAUAAGCCUCAGACCUUUCAUCCUCUGCCAUAGGUCCUUGUGUCUCUGUGCAGACCCACCUGUAGGUGGGUGUGGGCCGGUUCUAGCCCUGGUUCUCACUGGGCAUUGGAGGGCUCCUUUCUCUUGCACAGCAGAAGCAAAACUCCCAUUGCAGAAGCAUCUCAUAAGCAAGGGGUGCCUUUGACAAGUGGGGAACAACCAGGGCCUGACCCUCUCCCCUUUACUCUCUGAGUCGUGCUCACUCACGGGGUAGGGUCAGCCAGGAGGCAGAGCGAGGCCCAUAGAAUUCCAAAUGGAAGGGCUCUAGGGGAAAAAUUAAGAUAAUAAAAAACCCAAAGCAAAGAGAAACCUGUUGCUAGCAGAACCAGAUUGUUCUCCUCCUCCGGAUAUUCACUCCCCUGAAGGGUCUGCCGUGGGCCGCUGCUCGUGUGGGGAAUGGAGACCGCCCCCGUGGAAAUGACUGCAUUUGCUGAUGGCAUGCUCUCCUGAACAGUUCAGAUACAAUUGUUCUUAUUCACUGGUCAGGAACCUGUUUCAGAAGAGCUGUACCACACAAAGGUCUACGAGCAGCAGCGAUGCAAAGGGAGUUGUGGAGAAAUGAGAUGCAAAGCUGCCUUAUUUAAAUGCUAGCACAUUCCUGGCACACAUGCCUGCAGAGCUGCGAGGACAAGAGGCUAAACUAUGCUUCCUAGAAGCAAACCUGGGGAAAAGAGUCUGGGGCUGCGGUUCCCGGAGGAAAAGAAUCAAGUGGAUCCCACUGACACUAAUUUUUCCAAGUAACAGGAAAAAGCCUUUGAUAGGCUGGGUGACCUGGAGCCAGUAGAAUAAUGCCCGACCCAAACCUGGCCUGAACCCAAGGUGAACUUUAACUAGAACUGGGUAUAAGAAUUUGGUUCCCUGUAUUUUCCCUUCUGUGUCUCUGUGCUCCGGACAGGACUGGAUCUGAAAUGGCUGGGGCUCUGGAAUGGCAGGCAGGCAGGCUGGCUUCAUGAGAUUGCCAGCUCAGAUCUGCAUGGGGUGUGGACAGCUCAGGUCAGGUCCCCAGAAGCCCUGGAGUAUUUCUACAGCCUCAGCCCUUAGAGAUUUGCCCCUCGCUGUGCAUCUCACUUUCAUGGAGCGUUAGCUCUGUAUAAUACUAAUGCUGUGGGUGACGAGCCCUGGCACCCUGCAGCCCAGUCAGUUACAGCAUCCCCCAGCAGCCCAGCACCAAGCAGAAUUAACAGCCUGGCCAGUUAGCACGGCCCCAAAGGCCAGUGCAUCCAGCCCAAGGCCCUUCCCGCAGCCCCGUCAGACUGAUGCCUGGUAGGGGGGCCGAGAGGGGUUGUGGAGAGAACAUCACGCAGCUGGGACUGGCCUUUGUGCGGCUCUGGAGAAGCAGGCUCUUGGCCCCAUGGUGUUGCCCGCAGUGUAAAACCAGCGCCAGCAGACGUGCCGCGGAUCUGUGAAGAGCCCUGGCUGUAUGUGUGCCUGGGGCUCCCGAUGGACUGUGACCACUGGCUCAAGCCUGUAACGUCUACUCUAAACAUGUCAACUCUGCAAAUGC